UCACAAAUCUGGCCACACUGGUGAAAACAGCCAUCUUGAAGUCGAUAGCUGUUAUUACUCUUGUUCAAGUACUGUUGCGAAAGUAUUUAUUACGGCAAAUCGGCUGCAUAGAAAAGUAAUAAUUCAUGCCAAAUAUGAAUAUGGACGACGAAACAUUGAACAGACUCGCAGUUGAAGCUUUACUAGAGGAAGCCAAACUCGGUGCACGAAGGGCUGAGAUAAUGGGGCCUAGUGGAUGGGUAAAACC